rnacentral:lncRNA from 1 species
UAUCUUCAGGUGACUACAGAUGUGUUAACACCCAGCAUGUUCCGGUAGGAGACUUUCUGGAUGGGGAAGAUUUCCAGGAAUUGGCAACAAGCUCAUUUCACUGGUGGGUUUGCUGAAGCAUUAUCACAAGACAGAAUGAUUGAUGAGUGCUCUUCAGGUGUGAAUCACGGCAAUACAGUGAAAGACGGUGAUUUACUGCUUUUGAGGGCGUGCAUGUAUAUGAUUAAGGGAUGGAAGUGCAGGACUCCAAGAUUUACUUCCUUCCCUUUCCAGCAGAACUACCUGAGAGGAGUCAAAUCUACUGAUGGAGUCACUCCAUUAUUCUUAUCUGUGGAGAUCUAGAUCUUGAUUUGAAAGUUUCUGAGAAAAUCUUCAGCUCAGACUUGAGGGUCAACUUUACCAACUGAAGGAUCUGCAUUUAUUGCUCAAUCACAUCUAAUUUGAUGUUCUCUGCAGAUUUAAAAUGUGUGCCUUCUUUUCCAUCACCAAGUCAUCCCUGGGUUACUACUGAACAUCCUUCUCAAUUCCCCCCGACCCAUGGAUGGCUGUUCUCCAUUGUCUAUUUCACCAGAUGUCCUCAAAACAAACAGACAGAAGAAGGAAGUGGCUAACGGAGCUGUGGAGUCCAAGUGUGACUGCCAAGAGGAAUCCAGCAAAGCCAAAAAGCCCAAGCAUGUAGCCCUGCCUGAAGCCCACCACACGCAUGGAAAACCCAGAGGAAAUGAGUGAGGAUCAGUGGGAAGAAGGGAGCCAGCCAGGAAGUUGAAGAUUUGUCCAGGAGCAGAUAGCUGAAGAGAGAGAGAGAGAAGAGAGAAAGGCUUACAGCUCAGGUCCUCUCUCCAUGCUUAGGAACCACUACAAAUGCUACUGCCUUGAGUCUCAUUUUGUUUCCCUCUGGAAACCACAUGUGUACUUUGUUUGCAACAGUAUGGGCUCACAGGCAGAAGGAAUUUUCCUUGUCUUGGAUGAGACUUUUGACUUGGACUUUUGGGUUAAGUUCUGCAGGCCAGAAGGCCAAAAUCAAAAGUAUGAGCAGGCUUGAUUUCUUUAGAAGACUCCAAGGGAGAACUGUGUCUCCUUGCUUCUGAUUCUACAUCUCCAUCCAUGGGCCACUGUUUCAGCAACCUCAGCCAGUGCAACACAACCUCAGCCAAGAAGAGUAUGCAGAGAAAGGAGUCGCCUACCUGCCACAAAGCUGUUGUCUGAAAACUAUCUCAUAUUGUCUCAAGUUGUCGUUCAGUGUGAAUUAGACCUUUUUAACAUGCAAUCUGCAACAUGCUUCACUGUCUAAUUUUCCAGAGCCCCUCAUAUAAGAAACUGUAUUAUUGAUAUAAUCAUCAUGGUGAAUAAGUUGGUAUGUGGGGGAGAGAUGACAGAAACAGAGAGUAAGUCAGAGCUGGCUGCCUGACAGAUAAAAAGGAAAUGACCAA